GACACCGAUAGAGACAAUUGCUUGAGUAGCAAUUAAAGCAACAACUAACUUUCAUAUCAGGGACUAGGGUCAAUCAGUUCAUCCAACAUUUUACUCUAUGGUAACUGAGGCAUCUAUGAUCCAUCCGUUACAAAAUUUACAAGACAAAGUAUAUUCAUCGAUUCCAACUUUCACAUUUGUGCCUUAUUAUUUUUCGUCAAAACACAAUUUCAUUUAAGGCAACAACUAGCUUUCGCAUU
rnacentral:lncRNA from 1 species